GACGUAGGGCGCAAGCGUUGUCCGGAAUUAUUGGGCGUAAAGAGCUCGUAGGCGGUUUGUCGCGUCUGCUGUGAAAACCUAAGGCUCAACCUUGGGCUUGCAGUGGGUACGGGCAGACUAGAGUGCGGUAGGGGGUGACUGGAAUUCCUGGUGUAGCGGUGGAAUGCGCAGAUAUCAGGAGGAACACCGAUGGCGAAGGCAGGUCACUGG
rnacentral:rRNA from 1 species